UCUCAUCUUAGGGGUGUGGCUAUAG
rnacentral:piRNA from 1 species